rnacentral:rRNA from 1 species
GACGAACGCUGGCGGCGUGCUUAACACAUGCAAGUCGAACGCUGAAGCUUGGUGCUUGCCCUGGGUGGAUGAGUGGCGAACGGGUGAGUAAUACGUGAGUAACCUGCCCUUGACUCUGGGAUAAGCCUGGGAAACUGGGUCUAAUACUGGAUACGACAUGUCACCGCAUGGUGGUGUGUGGAAAGGGUUUUACUGGUUUUGGAUGGGCUCGCGGCCUAUCAGCUUGUUGGUGGGGUAAUGGCUCACCAAGGCGACGACGGGUAGCCGGCCUGAGAGGGUGACCGGCCACACUGGGACUGAGACACGGCCCAGACUCCUACGGGAGGCAGCAGUGGGGAAUAUUGCACAAUGGGCGGAAGCCUGAUGCAGCGACGCCGCGUGAGGGAUGACGGCCUUCGGGUUGUAAACCUCUUUCAGCACGGAAGAAGCGAAAGUGACGGUACGUGCAGAAGAAGCGCCGGCUAACUACGUG